rnacentral:rRNA from 1 species
UACGUAGGGUGCGAGCGUUGUCCGGAAUUAUUGGGCGUAAAGGGUGCGUAGGCGGUUUUCCAAGUUUGGUGUGAAAUCUCCCGGCUCAACUGGGAGGGUGCGCCGAAAACUGGAGGACUGGAGUACCGGAGAGGUAAGCGGAAUUCCUGGUGUAGCGGUGAAAUGCGCAGAUAUUAGGAAGGAACACCGGUGGCGAAGGCGGCCCAACUGG